CCCGGUACCAAAAAAAAAAAAAGAAUUACUGCUCAGAGCAGCCAUUUUUACAGCUGCUUUUUUGGGUUGUCAUCAUCUUUGUUUCCUAGGUAUUUACUUCUAUAGCUCUAAAUAACACUAUCAGACUUCUGGGAAGAUGGCAAAGUGGUAAGCAGUAAGAAUGGUAAGUAACAAGUCAACCUCUCCAAGAUUCAGAAUCCAGUACCAGAAAAUAACAACUUGGGGAAGAAAAGAAAGAGGGAGGUGGCUCCCCAGGGGCCCAGGAAUGAUCUGAAGGGAAUAUUGGAGCCCACAGAAAAAGUGAAGGAACAGACUUCAAUGCAGAAAAAAGAAGGGCCAAUUUGCAGAUUCUCCCUGGCUCCUGGCUCACAGCAUGAAAGAAGAGGAUCAAAUCUACAGAGAAACAAUGAAAGCAAUAACCUCAGAGGCUCCAGGGAGAAAUGCACCAGUGGAAUGGACCCAUGGAUGCUGGGCACUACAACAGCUGAUACACCUCAAUGGUCCGGUGAUGCUGUGAUGCUCCAGGGCAGGAUUACACCAGCUGGAGACUUCCUGGGAGGAACCAAAUCUUCAUCUGCAUAGUUCCUCAUUGAUCUAGGAUUAUCACAGUUGCGCUCUGAGUCAUCUGCUACUUUCGUUUCUUCUGAUGUAAAGGUGUAGCAAGCUCCGGGUCUGGGGUCUUUGCUGCCCAGGCCAAAGCUCAGCUUCUUCUCUUAA
ensembl:lncRNA